GUUCACCACUGCCUGUUCUCCUCACUCGCUACGCUCUUCACCCAGGCAAUACUAGGUCCUCGCUCAUACCUCCGUGUGUCUCCUGAGCUCCUGAGCAUCGCGCUGCCAACAUGAGGGUCAUGGCGUCUGGUGUCUUGCUGCUGUUGCUGCUGUGUCUUGUGGCCGAGUCGAGUUCAAGCAACGCACGGAAGAAGUGCCCCCCAAUAGAUCCUCUCACUCGUUGCUUCCACUACUACAAUAACUGCAACCUGAAUGACCCUUCUUCCUGUCGCCGUGGCGAAAAGUGCUGUCCCGGAGCGUGCGGUACUCAGUGUGUCUCGAGGUCCCGGAAUCACUAAUGAGGGUCUCAUGUGCUGCGGUGAUUCCUCUGCAAAACCACCAUGAGCUGCCGCCGCCGCCGCCGCUGCCCCACACUGCAGGCAACAAUUAUGGUUUCCAAUUUAAGCUUACACCGAUAAAAUGUAGACAUGAUAAUGUACUGACCAUCUAAUAUAUAUAUAUAU